AUGGCGAAACCAACGAAGAAUUCACAGAACACUACACCAGAUACUGAGCCAUCAACUUCAAGUGCGAGACCCAAGAAAACAAAGAAUUGCCAUCAACCCAAAAACAGAACUAGAAGCAAGAAGAAUCCUCAGCCUUGUUCCAAAUGUAGUAGGAAGGUAAGAUGGCCCAAGGUACAAAGAUUGAUAAAGAAGGCCAAGAACAUCCUGCCAAGUAUCCCAAAAAAGAAAGCUUCGAAGAAAACUGCACCACCGAAAAAGAAGAUUAAACGGGCCAAAUGUGAAGCACUAUUCCAUCGCCGCCGCCACCUAAUGGAUGAGAUGACCACUACUAGCACUGAAACGGAAGCCGAGCCAACUAGUUCAGACAGCUCCACUGAGUCAUCUAGUGAU
rnacentral:lncRNA from 1 species